ACCUCCAUUGCAAGGUGGUAAUCCUAUUGAAAGCACUGGAAUGUUUUUGGUAAGGUCUAUCCAAACUUUGGAGGCACAGCUCUUGAGGCUGCUCUGCACCAUCCCCUCCAAAAUUUUGCCUUCCCAAUUGUUCCUACUUGGAAUGAGAUGUAUUUAGCACAUAAUUAAUGAUGUUAAGGAGGGAGGAGGGAGAUGCUCUUGUACGAGGUGAUGUGAGGCUUGCCGAAUGCUUAUUUAGACUACGCUAAUGCACAUGAUUUUUCCCUAGGAUAUCACCUUAAGACACUAGUGCUGUUUCUAAAGCUUUGAUGUUCAGUGCUCACAUCUGAUCCUCUGAAGUGGAUUUUCCAGGAGACAGGAGCUGAUGCAAAGACUUUCUUGUCAAAAGAUAUCUUUCCUCUCUGGCAAAUCAAGGAAUGAGUGAAAGCGAUGGCUGGCACUAAAGGGAUUUACUGUUCCUAUUCCAGGUCACGGAUAUACUCUAGAAACUUAGUGAAGAUAAUGAGCUUCAAGGGCUGUGGGAACCUGCAAUUGCAGCAGAACUGAGAUAUCUUGCAAAAACAUUAAAAGGACAACAGGAGAUCGCGCUUGAGGGGAGAGGAAGUGCAGAACUACGUAUGUGGCUACCUGAAUGACAAAGCUUUAUGUCAAGACUCAUUGAAUGUCCUGCUUUGUUCUUCUUUUCCUGUGCUAGGAUUAAUGUGUCAUUUGAAUGUUUUAUCUUGCCUGUGAACGACUAUAUUUAUGAAUUCUGAAAGCAGAUCCAAGGUGGAGGAGCCACUGUACAGAGAAGUCACAGUUCUUUCCCCUGCAGCCACAUGACAUUGAAAUACAGCUGAGGAGCACAACAGCCAUUGCUCAUAUCAGCUGGGGGGGGUGGCUAGGGUGAGGUGAGCAAUAGCAGUAUCACUACAGAGAAUAGCUAUUCUAGAGCUAAUAUUACCUGAUGAGGGCAAAAAUUGUUAAGUGGUUCAUUCCUUUAGGCUCUUACUUGGCUUUAACUCAAAAUAAACUUAGCUGUGAGUAAAAGGUCUGCUCUGUGGCCCAAAUGGGAGCUUGUCUUCAUGUCUUGUAAUAGAUGCACUUUUCUGCAAGAGAGGCAAAGCAGUAUUGGUUUUCUCAUCCUGAAAGUUUAAUUCAGUGGAGAGUGCAUUUGGUGCUGCUGUAGUUGCACUGAUAGUUCUAUCCUUCCAUAUAUAUAUAUACAUAUAGUUUCAAUAUACCUAUUCUGUUUUGUAAGAUCAGUGAAGAAUGUUAGCAUUAUUCAAGCAUAAAUGGCUUGAAGCUGUGUCAGGGGAGGGUCAGGCUGGAUGUCAGGAACAGGUUCUUCACCAAGAGGGUGCUCAGGCACUGGGACAGGCUCCCCAUGGCAGUGGCCAUGGCACUGAGCCUGCCGGAGUUCAAGAAGCUUUUGGGCAAUGCUCUCAGACACAUGGUUUGAUUUUUUGGGUGGUCCUUUGGGGACCCAGGAGUUGGACUCAAUGAUCCUUGUGGGUUCCUUCCAACUUGGGAUAUUCUGUGAUUCUGUGGUUAUGCUUUAGGAUCACUAGGCAGGGACUAAAAUGUAUUAGCAAAUUAUCUAUUCUUGUUAGCAGGACAAGAGAUGAACAACAAAUGAAUUGUUGCCUUCUGCUAAAUCAGCACAAACCUGAAUGUCCUGUUGUUAAUUGUUUAUGAGCUUGUUUUAAGUUUCCUGUAGCAGUCAGCUCAAAAUCUGCUAAUAUUGUUCCAAAACAUAAAAUCCUUUUUCUCUGCUACUUUGUAGUGAUAUACAUCUGGGUAACGUGGGUGUAAAAUGUUAUUGCUCUGUCGUGGGAGAGCUUUACACCCACUUUUUGCUGGUGUCAAUGACUACACUUGCUAAGAGGCAAGCAUGGAAUCAAGCAUUUAAAAUAAAGUUCAAUAAGCAGAUUAGGCAAAGUUGUCAAAGAAAGCCGAGCUGCAUAGCUGCAGUUAAUGCCAGAAAUCAUGAUGUAUUGUUAAAAAAGCAAAUGUUAAUUGAACAAUUAAAACCCCUAUUUACAAUAUGCAGAAAAGCCUGGGGGUUCUGCUUUAAAGUAAAGCUGAGUGUUUCAACUGAAACCAUGCCUGCCUUGAAAUGAAAUGU